rnacentral:rRNA from 1 species
GCAGCCGCGGUAAUACGGAGGAUCCAAGCGUUAUCCGGAUUUAUUGGGUUUAAAGGGUGCGUAGGCGGUUUGAUAAGUUAGAGGUGAAAGCUCGGGGCUCAACUCCGGAACUGCCUCUAAUACUGUUGAACUAGAGAGUAGAUGCGGUAGGCGGAAUGUAUGGUGUAGCGGUGAAAUGCGUAGAGAUCAUACAGAACACCGAUUGCGAAGGCAGCUUACCAAACUAUAUCUGACGUUGAGGCACGAAAGCGUGGGUAGCAAACAGGAUUAGAUACCCC